GCCGUGGCCUACCUGGUUAGGGCUUCGAACUUGUAACCGGAGGGUUGCCGGUUCGAACCCCGACCAGUAGGCA
rnacentral:tRNA from 1 species